AAAGCCCAAGUGCUGUGUUAGGCGCUCCAGCUGAGACCAGACCUAAUUAAUGCAAGGAAAGGCUGCUGUUUGCACAGCUAUCUAGGUGGUUCUGCCUUUUCAUCUUUGGACUUUGUCCUAAUCAGAGCGGAUGCCGCUUUUUGAUCAGGUUAUUUGAGGGGCUGUGAGUGUCUUCCUUCCCCUUUAUCCUCUUUCAAUACACAUCUAUGGCAAACAUUAGACUGUCUCUACUGACAAUAGGCAUUUUUGCUUACUAUUGACAGAUUAAUUCUAUCAAUGGCUUAAAAUCCUGCUGUGGUUCUCCUGAACUAUUCUGUUUUUCCCUGAGGACUCUGGUUCCUUCCUGUAUGGUCUGCUGUCUUUUGCCGUUUUACCUCUUUGGUAAGUAAAUAUUAUUGUUUUUAUUUUUGGCCCCUGUUUAUAUGUAGUU